UACGGUCAUAGAUUGAAGAAAGUUCCGCAUCCCGUUCGCUCUGCGCAGACAAGCUUCAGAUCGCUCAGCCAGUACCAUCGCGGGAGACCAGAUGUGAAUCUUGAGGGCUGUGGU